rnacentral:rRNA from 1 species
GUCCACGCCGUAACGAUGAAUACUAGGUGUCAGCCCGCAGGGUUGGUGCCGCAGCUAACGCAAUAAGUAUUCCGCCUGGGAGUACGCUCGCAAGAGUGAACUCAAGGAAUUGACGGGACCCGCACAAGCAGCGGAGCAUGUGGUUAAUUCGAAGCAACGCGAAGAACCUUACCAGGUCUUGACAUCCCGUUGUAAAGCACUUAAUCGUGCUCCUCUCUUCGGAGACAAUGGAGACAGGUGGUGCAUGGUUGUCGU